GUCAGGAUGGCCGAGCGGUCUAAGGCGCCAGACUCAAGGACAUAAUCCUUGCUUCAAUAAUAAUAAGUUGCAGUUUUCUGGUCUUCAAUGAAGGCGUUGGUUCAAAUCUCACUCCUGACA
rnacentral:tRNA from 1 species